rnacentral:lncRNA from 1 species
GGUUAUUGUAGGUCGUCUAAGUUUGCAACAUGGUGGCAUACAACACAGGAAUGGUGAGACAAAGUUUGUGAAGGCAUCAUGGAGCCUAACGUGUUAGAUCCACUCUCACAAAAAAACCUUGUAGAACUGCUAGCUGAGUAUAAACAACUUCUACCAUUGAAGGUCAAUAACAUAUGUUGACCAUAUUCAAUAUGAUAUUGUUAUAGAGUUCCAUCUUUGUUUGCUCUUUACGUCAUCUAAUAGCAAAAAGAUUGACGCUGAGGUUGUUGCAUUUUGUUUCAGAUGAUUCCAAAGGGGUUGCUCUUGACUUCGAUAAUGCAUGCAGCUAGCUGAAACCAUUCUAGAGGCGGUUUUCUAUGGAUCGGGUUGCAAGGUUUGAAGAGGUCGGUUCG